rnacentral:lncRNA from 1 species
AACAGUUUUCCCAUCACUCUAGAUUCUAAGAUCACUCUAGGUUCUGAAAUGGGGCUCUCACCUCAAACACACAGCUGGAAAGUUUAGGGGUGGGCCACUGAUUCUUCAGAGUACCUCAGGGCAGGGCAGAUUGCCACAGUGUUUUCCGGUUUCUCAGUCUUUGCAACAGUGUUCUCAGUCAGGGCUGGGCCCCUGCCUGCCUACCAAAUGUGACCACUGCUGCUGGGAAGAGGUGUGCAGAAGGCAGAGAGCUGAAGUUGGCUGGGGAGACGAAGAAUUUUCACCUGAAAGGCUUGGGUUGGGGCACUCUGAGAUGACCUGUGAAGAUAAACUAGGUAGAGUCUUCAUUCCCCUAAUUUAUGAUACCUAGCAACAGCUUGCUCCAAGCACAGCUUCAGGCUUCUUAGGCAGAACAACAGCCAGUAUUUGACUCCACAAAUAUGAAUAAAACAAAUACCAUUUACUGAGCACCUGCUAUGGUGCUGGCAGCCAGCUAGGUAAUCCCCAUACUCAUCCUUUGGAGUAGGCAUAAUUAUCCCCAUUUUUCAGAUAUGGAAACCAAGGCUCAGAAAGGAUGUUGUCCCACAUCACUCCAUACAAAGGGCAAGAAAUUAUCUAGGGGGCCCAAACCAGUCCCAGGCUCAGAAGAGGCUGUGGGUGCCAAUGGGUGUAUCUGCUGAGACCUUGGUAUUCUGCCCUUAGACUGGGACUUAGACCCUUGGCUCUCCUGAUUCUCAGGCCUUUGGGCUCGAACUGGAAUUUAUACCACCAGCUUUCCUGAGUCUCCAGCUUGCAGAUGGCAAGAUCAUGGGACUUCUCUGCCUGCAUAAACACAUAAGUAAAUUCCUCCUCAUAAAUCUCUUUAUAUAUAUUCUUCCAUUGGUUCUGUUUCUCUGGAGAACCCUGACUAAUAUAGAACCCUGACUAAUACAAUCCAAACAGUAGAACUUCUGUACUAAAGCCAGAGAAGAAUGUGGAACCCUUGGAACAGGUCAGAAAACACUUUCAGGGGACAGAACAGAAUUCUUAAUCUGACCAAGUGUUCUUUGGAUGUGGCCUCUUCAAAAGGGAAAACCCCUAGCACAGUCACUAUGGAAAACAGUAUGGAGACCCCUCAAAAAACUAAAACUGCAACUUCCAUAUGAUCCAGCAAUCUGAGUAUAUAUCCAAAAGAAACGAAAUCAGUAUAUCAAACAGAUAUCUGCACUCCCAUGACUAUUGCAGCACUAUUCACAAUAGCUGAAGUAUGGAUGAACUCAAUCUAAGUGUCAUCAAUGGAUGGAUGAUAAAGAAAAUGUGUUGGCCAGGUGCAGUGGCUCAUGCCUCUAAUCCCAGCACUUUGGGAGGCCGAGGUGGGCGGAUUACCUGAGGUCAGGAGUUCAAGACCGGCCUGACCAACAUGAUGAAACCCCAUCUCUACUAAAUAAAAAAAUUAGCCGGGCGUGGUGGUACAUGCCUGUAAUCCCCAGCUACUUGGGAGGCUGAAGCAGGAGAAUUGCUUGAACCCAGGAAGCAGAGGGGCUGGACAUGGUGGCUCAUGCCUGUAAUCCCAGCACUUUGGAAGGCUGAGGCAGGCAGAUUGAGCCCAGGAGUUCAAGACCAGCCUGGGCAACAUGGUGAACCCCCAUAUCUACAAAAAAUACAAAAAAAAAAAUUAGCUGAGGAUGGUGGUAAAUGCCUGUAGUCCCAUCUACCCAGGAGGUUGAGGUGGGAGGAUCACCUGACCCAGGGAGGUCCAGGCUGCAGUGAACUGUGAUGUCACCACUGCAAUCCAGAGCAAGACCCUGUCUCAAAAAAAAAAAUUUAAAAAAAGAAGAAAAAAAUGUGCUGUAUAUACCCAGUGAAAUACUAUUCAGCUAUUUCAGAAUGAAAUCCUGUCAUUUGCAGCAACAUGGAUGGAACUGGAGGUCAUUAUGUUAAGUGAAAUAAACUGGCACAGAAAGGCAAACAUCGCAUGUUCUCACUCAUGUGGGAACUAAAAAAUUUGGUCUUAUGGAGGUAGUGAAUAGAAUGGUGGUUACCACAAGUUGGGGAGGAUAGUGGGGAUGAAGGAUGAAGAGGGAUUGGUUAAUGGGUGCAAAAAUACAGUUAGAUAGGGCGAGUAUAGUUAAUAACUUAUUGUAUAUUUCAAAAUAGCUAGAAGAUUCAGAAUGUGCCCAACACAAAGAAAUCACAAAUAUUUGAGGUGAUGGAUAUACCAGUUCCCCAGAUUUGAUCAUUAUACAUUUUAUGCUUGUAUCAAAAUGUCACAUGUACC